rnacentral:lncRNA from 1 species
GCAAUCUUCACAAAAGAUGAGUAAAUGACUUCACCAAUACAUUAACAUUUGUUUAUAAACAUUAGGAUAUGCAAAUCAAAGCAAUUACCAAUACAUUAAUUUCAACAAGUUGGCCAAGAAAAUUCAGACACACUACAAGGCUCUAUACACCACCAAAUUGGUAUAUAUAUCAACAAAUUGAGAGGUUUUAAUUGAUCAACAAGCUGAAUCAUCAUAGUGGACAAUCUCCAUUUCUACUUCCUUUCCAGGCUUAACAAUUUCUUCUUCUUCUUCUUCUUCUUCUUCCAUAGUCGACAUCUUGCUCCUCCUUAUAGCUUCCUCAAGUUUCAUUGGAGAGGGUAUCCUUGUCCUUGUCAUCUGCAAAGUUUAUAGUCUCAACAACAAAAAAAAUCAUGCCAGUCAGUCAUUGCCAUCUGUAGCAUCUCUUCAUCUUUAGUUCUCGUCUCAAGACAUUCUAGUCUUCUUCCACUCGGUGGAUUUCUUCUCAAUUCAUAGAGAAUUGCGUGGUGAAAUGAAAUGGGUUUGGGAGUGCAAGCGGUGUCGGUGUGCGGUUGGCGUCGGCCGGUGGUGCCGGUGAACGGUCGGUGUCGGCUGGUGGUGAUGGUGAGUGCUUGGGUUGGGAGCUUAGGGCCACUCAUGGUUGCGUAAAUAGGGGAAAAAUUGGAGCACAAAUGGGUUUUUGCUUUUUUGGG